UACGGGGGGGGCAAGCGUUGUUCGGAAUUACUGGGCGUAAAGGGCUCGUAGGUGGCCAACUAAGUCGGACGUGAAAUCCCUCAGCUUAACUGGGGAACUGCGUCCGAUACUGGAUGGCUUGAGUUUGGGAGAGGGAUGCGGAAUUCCAGGUGUAGCGGUGAAAUGCGUAGAUAUCAAGAGGAACACCUGAGGUGAAGACGGGUUGCUGGGCCAACACUGACGCUGAUGCGCGAAAGCCAGGGGAGCAAACGGG
rnacentral:rRNA from 1 species